rnacentral:rRNA from 1 species
GACGAACGCUGGCGGCGUGCCUAAUACAUGCUAGUAGAACGCUGAAGAGAGGAGCUUGCUCUUCUUGGAUGAGUUGCGGACGGGUGAGUAACGCGUAGGUCACCUGCCUGGUAGCGGGGGAUAACUAUUGGAAACGAUAGCUAAUACCGCAUAAAAUUGAUUAUUGCAUGAUACUUAAUUGAAAGAUGCAACUGCAUCACUACCCGAUGGACCUGCGUUGUAUUAGCUAGUUGGUGAGGUAACGGCUCACCAAGGCGACGAUACAUAGCCGACCUGAGAGGGUGAUCGGCCACACUGGAACUGAGACACGGCCCAGAAUCCGACGAGAGGCAGCAGUAGGGAAUCUUCGGCAAUGGGGGAACCCUGACCGAGCAACGCCGCGGGAGUGAAGAAGGUUUUCGGAUCGGAAAGCUCUGUUGUAAGAGAAGAACGGGUGUGAGAGUGGAAAGUUCACACUGUGACGGUAGCUAAACAGAAAGGGACGGCUAACUACGUG